rnacentral:rRNA from 1 species
UAUGGUCAAUAGCCUAACGGCUGAACCAGCAACUUGGAGGAAUCUAUAGCGAAAGCUAGUUGUGCCACAUGGUGCAAUAUCGACUUAGUCGAAUAAAGUUCGGAACAGACUUAUGAUUAUGACAUUAUCUGUUUUUGUGUCUUGACCAAAUUACGUGCCAGCAGUCGCGGUAAUACGUAGAAGACUAGUGUUAUUCAUCUUUAAUAGGUUUAAAGGGUACCUAGACGGUAGACCAAGCCCUCCUAGGGAGACGGGACUAGUUUGCUAGAGUUACUUGUGAGGGGGCUAUGAAGUACUAAUGGUGUAGAGAUGAAAUUUUGUGAUACCAUUUUUCGUAAGAAAAGUUAUGGCACUGGUAAAGGCGAAAGCAUCCCCUUAUGUGAUAACUGACGUUGAGGGACGAAGGCUCCGGGUCGCGAAUAGGAUUAGAUACCCUAGUAGUCGAAGCAGAAAAUGAUGAGUGUCAUAGAUUAGAGUAACUUUAUUCUAUAAAUGAAAGUGUAAGCACUCCACCUCAAGAGUAAUUUGGCAACAUUGGAACUGAAAUCAUUAGACCGUUUCUGAAACCAGUAGUGAAGUAUGUUGUUUAAUUUGAUAAUCCGCAAAAAACCUUACCACAACUUGAAUAUUUGUACAUUUUAUACACUUACAAGCGUUGCACGGCUGUCUUCAGUUAAUGUCGUGAGACUUUGGUUAGAUCCAUUAAAUUAACGCAAGCCCUUACUUUAUUUAUAAAUAAAGUAGUUCCCCACUAUAUUGGAUAUGAUAACAGGGACUAAGACAAGUCAUCAUGGCCUUAAUGUUGUGGGCU